rnacentral:snRNA from 1 species
GCAUUUAAGCUAUGUUUUGCCUGCGGCAUGUCAGCCUAUUGAUCUCUCCAGGGUUGCUUCACCUGAUCUGGAUGUCUAGGUGGUUGGCCCACUCCUCCCUCAUCUCUCCAUGUGCAUCCCUCCCAACACUGCAUGCUUGGUCAAAGAAGACCACCUCCCCCACCCCCAUUCUUCAGUCAAGGGUAUACAGGUAGCUCUACUGCUCUACUAGAAUGAGCUCCCAAGGUCCAUUUGUAGGAGAACAUAGGGCAAACAAGCUUCCAAGACUCCAGAUACAUCCAAAUGAGGCUCUGCAUGUGGCAAUCUGCCUUCCUUU